rnacentral:rRNA from 1 species
UACGAAGGUCCCAAGCGUUGUUCGGAAUCACUGGGCGUAAAGGGAGCGUAGGCGGCGUGGUAAGUCAGAUGUGAAAUCCCGGGGCUCAACCCCGGAACUGCAUCCGAUACUGCCAUGCUAGAGGAUUGGAGAGGUAGCUGGAAUUCUUGGUGUAGCGGUGAAAUGCGUAGAUAUCAAGAGGAACACCUGCGGCGAAGGCGGGUUGCUGGGCCGACACUGACGCUGAGGCGCGAAAGCUAGGGGAGCGAACGGG